UAGGGAAUCUUCCGCAAUGGACGAAAGUCUGACGGAGCAACGCCGCGUGAGUGAAGAAGGAUUUCGGUUCGUAAAACUCUGUUGUUAGGGAAGAAAAAAUGUAUAGUAACUAUAUACAAAAGAGACGGUACCUAACCAGAAAGCCACGGCUAACUACGUGCCAGCAGCCGCGGUAAUACGUAGGUGGCAAGCGUUGUCCGGAAUUAUUGGGCGUAAAGCGCGCGCAGGUGGUUUAGAAAGUCUGAUGUGAAAGCCCACGGCUCAACCGUGGAGGGUCAUUGGAAACUAAGAAACUUGAGUGCAGGAGAGAAAAGUGGAAUUCCUAGUGUAGCGGUGAAAUGCGUAGAGAUUAGGAGGAACACCGGUGGCGAAAGCGGCUUUUUGGCCUGCAACUGACACUGAGGCGCGAAAGCGUGGGGAGCAAACAGG
rnacentral:rRNA from 1 species